rnacentral:tRNA from 1 species
UUCUCGGUGGCUGAGUUUAAUAGCGCUAAACUUUUAAUUUAGAGACAGUCGGACACAAAAACAGACUUCGAGAAA